GACGAACGCUGGCGGCGUGCUUAACACAUGCAAGUCGAACGGAAAGGCCCUGCUUUUGUGGGGUGCUCGAGUGGCGAACGGGUGAGUAACACGUGAGUAACCUGCCCUUGACUUUGGGAUAACUUCAGGAAACUGGGGCUCAUACCGGAUAGGAGCUCCUGCUGCAUGGUGGGGGUUGGAAAGUUUCGGCGGUUGGGGCUGGACUCGCGGCUUAUCAGCUUGUUGGUGGGGUAGUGGCUUACCAAGGCUUUGACGGGUAGCCGGCCUGAGAGGGUGACCGGCCACAUUGGGACUGAGAUACGGCCCAGACUCCUACGGGAGGCAGCAGUGGGGAAUAUUGCACAAUGGGCGGAAGCCUGAUGCAGCAACGCCGCGUGCGGGAUGACGGCCUUCGGGUUGUAAACCGCUUUCGCCUGUGACGAAGCGUGAGUGACGGUAAUGGGUAAAGAAGCACCGGCUAACUACGUG
rnacentral:rRNA from 1 species